UAUUGCUACCGUUUGACCCUAACACAAUCUCUAAUUAUUAUAUGAUUAACGUUUUUACACUUAGAAGCGUGUCUAUCAGGUUACAAACAAAUUAGAAACCUCUCAGGUAGUAAACAAAUUAGUUGCAGUUUUAUCAAUGGAAAACCUCUUCAGUAUUUUCUCUUGUAAACAUAAUCAUUAUAAUGUUGCAACAGCUAUGACUAUUAAAAAUAAAAUAUUUUGUGUCAAAGAACUCCCGGCCCAAACACUAAAAACUAAAUUAGGCGUAACAGGCAGGGCCCAGAAGGUUAUUGCCGCCACUUUAUAUGGGUGAAGGGCAACUAUAUAACAACUUGUUACUGCUCUGCCCUUUAUUUUCGUGAUGCCAUAGGCCCUAGAUAGGUGUGUCCUAUAUAGAUCUAAUCAAAUUAGUUUAUAUUAUUUUAAUGUUUGUGAUUCAUAUACCAGAAAUAUAAACAUCUUUAUUAAUUGUUUUAAUAAAGCAUUUUAAUUAUUAA